AAGGGCUCCAGGUAUGGGGGCCAAAACAGGUUCAGCAGGGAUGAUUAGCCGCAGAAGAACCUCAGCUUUCUGGACUGACUCCUCCAGGAAGCAGGAAAGGAGAGUAAGAGUCCCCUGCCUCAUGUAUCCUAAGGGGCAGUUAAGUGAAAUCAUCGGGAAAGACGCUAAGGAAAGAAGACCAUUUAUGAUGCAACAACCUCUCUGUACCAUCAUCAUUAGAGGUUUGUAUUUAUUUAUGUGUUUGCUCGUGGCUAAAUGUGUCCUCCUGGGCAUCCAGAGCCAAGCUUCGAUACAAAUGCCCCUUGUCAAUCAGUGGAAUUUACUGAGUGUGUACUGUGUGCGGAGCACUGCACUGAAUGCUUUCAAGAGCACCAGAUGAGCUUCAGUAGACAUUAUCCCUGCCCUCAAGAAUGUGUCUCUUGGACCCUCAAGAAUGUGUCUCUUGGACCCCCUUCCUGGACCCCCUUGCUGCAUUUCCUGUGGUCUUCUCAGGACAGGAGUAGGGAGGGUAGAGAGUGGUGGUGGCGGAGGGGGUUUGAUGACCCAGAUGACCCUAGUGUGUCCCUCUCUGCCAGGGAAAAAUACCCCCUCCUGGUCAACAGAAGCAGCAUGGUGUAGUGGAUGGAGCACGGGCCUGGGAGUCAAAAGUACCUGGAUUCUAAUCAUGGCUCCACCAUCUGUCUGGGUGACCAUGGGCAAAUCACUUCACUUCUCUGGCCCUCAAUUAUCUUAUCUAUAAAAUGGGGAUUAAGACUGUGAGCCUCAUCUGAGUCAGGGACUGUGUCCAACCUGAUAACCUCGUAUCUACCCCAGCACCUGGAACAGUGCUUGGCACAUAGUAAGCACUUAACAAAUACUAUUAGAGGGGAAGCAGCAUGGCUCAGUGGAAAGA
rnacentral:lncRNA from 1 species